rnacentral:rRNA from 1 species
CCUACGGGAGGCAGCAGUGAGGAAUAUUGGUCAAUGGGCUUACGCCUGAACCAGCCACGUCGCGUGAGGGAAGACUGACCUAUGGGUUGUAAACCUCUUUUGUCAGGGAGCAAUUGGCGCUACGUGUAGCGUUAUCGCGAGUACCCGAAGAAAAAGCAUCGGCUAACUUCGUGCCAGCAGCCGCGGUAAUCCGGGGGAUGCGAUCGUUAUCCGGAUUUAUUGGGUUAAAAGGGUGCGUAGGCGGAAUGUCAAGUCAGCGGUAAAAUCGCGGGGCUCAACCUCGCUCCGACGUUGAAACUGGCGUUCUAGAGUGGGCGAGAAGUAUGCGGAAUGCGUGGUGUAGCGGUGAAAUGCAUAGAUAUCACGCAGAACUCCGAUUGCGAAGGCAGCAUACCGGCGCCCAACUGACGCUGAAGCACGAAAGCGUGGGUAGCGAACAGGAUUAGAUACCCGUGUAGUC